UACAGAGGUCCCAAGCGUUGUUCGGAAUUACUGGGCGUAAAGCGUGCGUAGGCGGCGGGGUAAGUCGGGUGUGAAAUCUCAGGGCUCAACCUUGAAAUUGCAUUCGAUACUGCUUCGCUUGAGCUCUGAAGAGGAGGUUGGAAUUUACGGUGUAGCAGUGAAAUGCGUAGAUAUCGUAAGGAAGGCCGGUGGCGAAAGCGAACCUCUGGGCAGCAGCUGACGCUGUGGCACGAAGGCUAGGGGAGCAAACGGG
rnacentral:rRNA from 1 species